rnacentral:lncRNA from 1 species
AGGGCCGCGGACUAGGGGAGCGCUGGACGCUCAGGGACCAGGACCCAGGCGCCCGAGUCCCCAGCUCCACUGUCCUCCGCCUCUACACUCGGGGAUUCUGGAGACCACGUCGACCCGCAAUGAACUGGAAUAAAGAUUCCAGUCUCCAGCCCCUGGGGGAAGGCAGGAGCAGAAUUUGACAUUCCCUUCCCCAACAAUAACACGGCUAAAACUCCCGCGGGAAGCGUUUCAGGCGGAGAGAG